ensembl:rRNA 5S_rRNA 5S ribosomal RNA
GCUUACGGCCACACCGGCCUGAGUACGCCUGAUCUCGUCCGAUCUCGGAAGCUAAGCAGGAUCGGGCCUGGUUAGUACUUGGAUGGGAGACCGCCUGGGAAUACCAGGUGCUGUAAGCU